rnacentral:lncRNA from 1 species
AGAUUCGGACGCUCUUUACCGAACUCAGAUUGGGCCGACCACUAAGCCUGAAGAAAUCAUGUCAAGGAGAGAGCUUUGCCCAAUCACACCAAGCCCAAAGAUAUGCCUUCCAAGAGAGGGGAAGCUCUAUGACCAACCCCAACUAUCCAUGCAUGAGAGUGGACUUCCCUCGAUGGGAAGAAGGAGACCCAAUUAGUUGGAUCUCGCGCGCGG